rnacentral:rRNA from 1 species
CCUACGGGAGGCAGCAGUGAGGAAUAUUGGUCAAUGGUCGGGAGACUGAACCAGCCAAGCCGCGUGAGGGAUGAAGGUACAGAGUAUCGUAAACCUCUUUUGUCAGGGAACAAAGGCGGGGACGUGUCCCCGGAUGAGUGUACCUGAAGAAAAAGGAUCGGCAAACACCGUGCCAGCAGCCGCGGUAAUACGGAGGAUGCGAGUGUUAUCCGGAUUUAUUGGGUUUAAAGGGUGCGAAGGCGGUCUGUUAGGUCAGCGGUAAAAGCCCGGGGCUCAACCCCGGGCCGCCGUUGAAACUGGCAGUCUCGAGUUGGCGAGAGGUAAGCGGAAUGCGCGGUGUAGCGGUGAAAUGCAUAGAUAUCGCGCAGAACUCCGAUUGCGAAGGCAGCAUGCCGGCUCCACACUGACGCUGAGGCACGAAAGCGUGGGUAUCGAACAGGAUUAGAUACCCGAGUAGUC